GGUCCUGUGACGCAGCAGGUUAGCGUGUCGUUCUUAUAAUGCGAAAGUCGCGAGUUCAAAUCUCGCCAGGACCA
rnacentral:tRNA from 1 species